CUUGCUUCUGAUUGAUAACAUUUGAGUGAGUGGCGGACGGGUGAGUAACACGUGGGUAACCUGCCCUAAAGUGGGGGAUAACAUUUGGAAACAGAUGCUAAUACCGCAUAAAACCUAGCACCGCAUGGUGCAAGGUUGAAAGAUGGUUUCGGCUAUCACUUUAGGAUGGACCCGCGGUGCAUUAUUUAGUUGGUGAGGUAAAGGCUCACCAAGACCGUGAUGCAUAGCCGACCUGAGAGGGUAAUCGGCCACACUGGGACUGAGACACGGCCCAGACUCCUACGGGAGGCAGCAGUAGGGAAUCUUCCACAAUGGACGAAAGUCUGAUGGAGCAACGCCGCGUGAGUGAAGAAGGUUUUCGGAUCGUAAAACUCUGUUGUUGGAGAAGAACGUAUUUGAUAGUAACUGAUCAGGUAGUGACGGUAUCCAACCAGAAAGCCACGGCUAACUACGUGCCAGCAGCCGCGGUAAUACGUAGGUGGCAAGCGUUGUCCGGAUUUAUUGGGCGUAAAGCGAGCGCAGGCGGUUUCUUAAGUCUGAUGUGAAAGCCUUCGGCUCAACCGAAGAAGUGCAUCGGAAACUGGGAAACUUGAGUGCAGAAGAGGACAGUGGAACUCCAUGUGUAGCGGUGAAAUGCGUAGAUAUAUGGAAGAACACCAGUGGCGAAGGCGGCUGUCUGGUCUGUAACUGACGCUGAGGCUCGAAAGCAUGGGUAGCAAACAGGAUUAGAUACCCUGGUAGUCGAUGCCGUAAACGAUGAGUGCUAAGUGUUGGAGGGUUU
rnacentral:rRNA from 2 species